AGGUCUUCUCAUGAAGCUCAGGACUCAACAUUUCCAGCUCAAGACAAAUAGAAUAAACUCAAAUUCUGGCUGCUGUGAAGAGCUAUCAACAUAAAUAUCAAACAAAUAAUAGGAGAGGAUGAUGCCCAUCCAAAAGGCGACUAUGAAGCCCAUCCAAAUGUCCUUGAUGAAAAAGACAAGAAAAGAAAGAAAAUAAGAGAACCAUGGGUGAAGAGAUGGUAGAUAUGGAUCACAUUGUUACAUUAAUUCAAAUUAUCAUUCAGGAGCUCUGUCUAAGUUCGAUGUUGUUUGAUCAACAUUACUCGGUUUUUUCAUCUUCUUGUCAAAUUAGACUAUGCACCAAGUCACUGGUCCAAUUGUCAGAAAAAUAUCAUGCACAUCACGUGAUUUCCAGUGACCCAAAAGAACUCAAGGAUGGAGAAUCUUACAGAGCCAAGGCAGGACAGCAUGACAAGCUCAAACUACAAAACUUAGUGUUAUAACCACGGAUCUGAUAAUUAAAUUAGCUGUAGCUCAUGAUAGAAAGCCCGUACCAGAGCAGAACACCUUUCUGUGUCUGGUAGAAACUCUGACCUAGACCAAAACCCCAAUGCGCUUCUUCAAGUAAACCUGGAAGGUCUGCUAAUACCAUUGUAGAAUCAUAAUCAAAUGAAACUACACCCAGGUUAGGAAGUAAAGGAG